UACAGGGGGGGCAAGCGUUGUUCGGAAUUACUGGGCGUAAAGGCUCGUAGGCGGCCAACUAAGUCCGACGUGAAAUCCCCAGGCUUAACCUGGGAACUGCGUCGGAUACUGGAUGGCUUGAAUUCGGGAGAGGGAUGCAGAAUUCCAGGUGUAGCGGUGAAAUGCGUAGAUAUCUGGAGGAAUACCGGUGGCGAAGGCGGCAUCCUGGACCGACAUUGACGCUGAUGAGCGAAAAGCUAGGGGAGCAAACGGGG
rnacentral:rRNA from 1 species